AGCGCGGUCGCCACCGCUUAAAGGCGCCGCGCCAGCCCUCGCCGCUGCUGCGGGCUGGUUUGCGUCGCGGGCGGAGGGCGCAGCUGUCUUGCCGAGUGGUUUCUGGCUGAAGGGGCGAGGGGAGGGGGUUGUGGCGGGGACAUUUCGUGUCUGUCGUUUGGGGGUAGUCGAGCUCCGGUCCUCGGAAGCAUCCCGGUGCCCCAGCGGUAUUCACUCCACCCCUCGGCAAGUGGUUGCAACUGCAGAGGGAGGGGGCGGCGCGGUGCGCAGAAACCUUCAGUGAGGUCGCCUCUUGUCGCCAGGGGAAGCUGACCCAGGCCCAGGCUUAGGGCGUUGACCGCCGACUCGCAGGACGCGGCCAGGAUGAAGGGAACGUCCCAGGUCUAGACAAGAAAAAUGGGUCCCCUGGGUGCCGGCUGCCGGGGUGGAGGGUUCCGAGUUUCGGCGGAGACUUUCAGGAUGGCCUUGAAAAUCUGAGAAGAGGAAGAGCUUGGAUUGAGGAGGGAGCAUCUAAAGACCUGGGGCGUUACGGGGAUGACAGGCUUUCCUAACCAAACUUGAGUCAGGCUCCGUAAGUCUUCUUUCUGCCUGGGCUCUGACCUUGGGCUCUGUCCUCGGCCCCUUGGGUCCAGCUGUAGCAAAAAUCCUGGUGAGUCAGAAAAAUUUGCUGGCCUUGGUGGGAGAUCGCCCUGGCCUGUCUACAGGAAGAAUCCUGUCAAGUCAACUUACCCGGAAUCCCCAGAGCCCUGAGGUUUGCCCUUAGCUUCCCAUCUACCAGUUGCCCACCCUUGUGCCUUACUAUAAAUUCCCACUUGGCCUUGCCAGUCAGAAUGGAGCGGUCGCUCUCCUGUUGAAAAACCCCCAGUGCAGAUGUCUGCUUCUUAAAGUCUUCCUUGCCAUCUUUAA